rnacentral:rRNA from 1 species
UACGUAGGGGGGCUAGCGUUGUCCGGAAUCAUUGGGCGUAAAGAGCGUGUAGGCGGUCCGGUAAGUCCGCUGUGAAAGUCGGGGGCUCAACCCUCGAAUGCCGGUGGAGUACUGUCGGGCUAGAGUGCGGAAGAGGCGAGUGGAAUUCCAGGUGUAGCGGUGAAAUGCGUAGAUAUCUGGAGGAACACCGGUGGCGAAGGCGGCAUCCUGGACCGACACUGACACUGAGGAGCGAAAGCCAGGGGAGCAAACGGG